UGAGGACUGCAGCAGCAGCUCUUACCUGAAAGUGUCUCGGGGCUGCUGGCUUAGUCCAUGGUUGUCAUACUUGGCAAUAGCCUUAAAACAGACCAGGCUCUCCAUCUCUGUCAAUCUCUUCUUUCCUUCCUUGUCUCUCUGGGUGUCUCUCUCUCUCCCUCUUGUGUGCUGAUGUAGGUGUCCCCAAAGAGCCACCUCAGGAGACUGCUCCCGGCUUUGAGAUGUUGGGCACAGAGUGACACAGCGACGCGGCACUAAGACCAGUGGAGACCCAGCUGCGACCCACUGGAUGUCACUUGCUAUCAGGGCCAGACUGGAGCUAUUUUCAGCUUGGAGGGCUCUGAGGAGGAUCCUCAUGGAGCCUCAUGCAGUGGCCACACCCGGUGGGAGGUCGUGUGGGCCACAGGAGGCUCUGUUUCCGGCUGCUGGAUCAGGACUGACUCACCCAAGAGGGUCACGCAGGGUGGAGGGGCUGAGGGGACCCCAGUGUCAGCUUCCUCCUUUGCUGCAGGGACACCCAGAUCCCGGCAGGCGUUUCUCCGUGCCCCACACAGUCCCUGGGCAGCGGUGAGGCCUUGGCCACCAGCUGGCUGGGAAGCAGGCACCAGGGCUGGAAUGGGGACGGGGUGCAGAACAGUCUCCAAAUCUCAGCAAGAGGCAGCCCCUGGAGCUGCUUCCGUGACGGUACAGAAAGAGGGGCAGCUGGAUUUGGCCCACGGCAGUGAUCUGCCAAUCCCUGUCCUCUCAAUGGGAAGUUCACUGGGAGAUUUGAAGCCAUGAGGUGACCCUGGCUGGCUUGGAGGUUUAAAUAGCACAUGCCUGUCAUCCCAGCAAUCUGGGAGGCUGAGGCAGGAGGAUUGCAAGUUUGACCCCAGUCUGGACAACUUAGCAACUUAGCAUGAGCCUGUCUCAAAAGAAAAAAUAAAGAGGGCUGGGGUUGUAGCUCAGUGGAAAGGCCUUGGGUUCUUUUCUCAGUAACACACACACACACACACACACACACACACACAAAUGAAAAUUAAAAGGAGAAAAGAUUUAUUUUGGCUCAUGAUUUCAGAGGUUUAUGGUUCUUGGCCAGGUAGCUUUUGGGUCUGUGGCGAGCUCGAACAUCAUCUCAGAAGUGUGGCAGAGCAAAGUUCCUCACCUCAUGGGGACCUGGAAACCAGGCGAGGUGGGGGCUGGAAAUGGAACAUCUCCUUUCAUUUCAUGCCCCUACUAAACUCACUUCCUCCUACCAAUCCCCAGGGCACUGUCAGCUGAAGAUCAGUCUUUUAACACAGGAGCCUGUGAGGGUGAAUUUCACACCCAACGGUGACAGGUCCACAUCCGUGUCCCCUGGGUAGAAGUGAGCUGCCAGAAUCAGAGACAGACUUUGUCCUGCUCCCUGCUGUGUCCCCAGAGCACACAGCGGUGCAUGGUCCACUCCGCGAGGGAACCCAGCAGCCAGGAGGGGAAAGCUGUGGCCACCUCUCUCCCGUCCCCACCCGAGUCACAUUUUCAGGUGGCUCUGGAAAUUGUGCGAGGUCUAUGAGUGACAGUGAGAUGCUCAGGGGCCCCGGUGGGGGCACAGGAAGGAGAGCGGGCCGCGUGGGGAAAG
ensembl:lncRNA